UCUUAGAUAAUGAAACCAUAUAUUAUAAAUAUCCGGUCUUUUAGACUUGAAUAAAAGAAACCACAAACUUAUAAACUCUGGUGCCUUAUAUCAAGUUGAUAAUGCUGAGGGUCAAAGAGACCGUAUAUAUAAUAGCAUUGGUUUCUUUUUUUUUAGGGAAAAAAAAUAGAGCGCCAAUUCACCCUAAAAUUUCCCUCCGACAUACUAAAAAUUCCCUUCCCUCUAGAAAAUAUACUAAGUAUAUUAAUUUUGAAAAAAAAAAAUAUUCUUCGGUUUUAAAAAAGAAAAAAAAUAUUCUUCACUUCCAAUUGACCAAACCGACUCUGGUACUACAUGCUACUUUUCCGCCAUAGCCCAAACCAACUCUGCUACUUCUUGCUACUUUUCUGAUCGCUGCUCUAUUGCUGGUGAUCCUAGUACUCUAUUAAAGGAAAUUUUAUUUCUUUCGUAAUUCAAUUCAAUAUUUCAAAAGUUAGGGUUUAUUGCUUUCAACCGCAUUCGUAAUCGCCUAAUCUACCACUAGCACCAAUACUCGUCGAAUUGCCUAAUCCAGCCACCAAUCCCAAUUUUGCGACAGCUAAUGGCAAGAAAGAAAAAGCCGGUACAAUAACAUGAAGGUAAUGAUGACGAAGAUAAUUCUGAUAUUGAACGACUUAGCCGUGAAGAUGAAAGGGGUCGUACAGUACUUGCUGCUGUUGGAAAGGCAAUUCAAAACGGGACCAAGAUCCCUUUAGAGUGGGAUCCUAUAACUAAGUUGCCAUGUGGGAACAUAAACUUACCUUUUCUGGCUAUAUUGGUGUAGUUGUUCGGGAACGAAUAUGCAUCACUUAUGAAACGUGGAAAAAAGUUCCAAGAGUUUUCUUAGAUGAUAUUUAUGACAUAAUAAAGAAAGGUUUUGUAGUCUUAGAAGAGUGUAAGGAGUAUAUUUUGCAGCAAGCAGAUUGGAGAGCUGUAAAAACCCAGUUGAGAAGAGAUUGGCUAUACCAUAAAAAAACUAGAAGGUUAAGAGAAAAGCCACCAGAUUGGAAAUAUCCUUGGAUCACUUAAGAUAUUUGGGACAAAUUUGUUACAAUGAGUAUUGAUGAUAAGUUCAAGGUGGUGAGCGAAUGUAGUCGAGCAAGGUCAAAGCUUAAAAAUUCAAGCUAUCGUGGAGGGCCACUUGGUUAUCAAUACUAUCGAGAUGAGAUAAAAUAGAAUUCUUGAAAAAAGGGAUCCAUAUUGACCAUGUGCCUCGACACGAAACUUGGUUGCGAGUUCAUUCCCAUUUUAAAGAUAGAAAAUAUACUUUUAAGAAUCCAAUUGAUCAAGAGACAGCUGAUGCAAUUAAUGCAUUAAAAGAUCAAGCAGAGAGAGGAGAAAUAAUUUUCGAGAACCGACAUGAUGAUAUUUUGGCCCGAGCACUGAAAAAGGUGGAGCGUGGAGGAAAUGUAAGGGGCGUUGGAUCAGGUAUAACAAAGAAGCAGUACUUUGGUUCUGCAAAACCAACACCACCUAGCCAAUUGCACAAUGAACUUAAUUGUGUCAGGUCAGAGGUGGCAAUGCUGAAAAACCAAAAUAAUGUCAUAAUGUCUUAUUUGUUAUCGGGCCAAAACAUAGGGGAGUUUAAGCAAUUGAUGGCCAGCGGUAUUAGUGGCCAAUCUAGUGUUCCCAUUGGUCAAGACAAUGGCUCUGGAAACCUAAUAGUACUUGUUCUCAGCAAGAAAAUGCUACCCAAGUUACUAGUUCAUCUGAAUUUGGAUCAGAUACAGGAUUUUUUACCAAGCUUCUACGUGGAGGUGUUAAUCAAGGUGGCCAAAGUGCUAUAUUUUUCUCAAGGAAAUCCUUACACUCGGUCUCAAGAUUUUCAAGAAACGGAAUACAAUCGGCCUCAUAGUGAAAAACAAGAACAUGAGCUAGAGCCUUACCAAGUUUCUUGGCCUGAUACUACUAAUGCUAACUCACCACAACAAGGAAAUUGUAUGUUCCUUAGCCCGAUACAUAUGACACUCAACCUAUUAGCAACCUUCCUAAGGGUAUGCAUGACUGUUGCUUAGCGACUGAAGAUGACAAAGAAAUCCAGAUUAUUGCAAUUGGGCAAGUUUACAUAUCAGGGUCGACAUUAGUGGUAAAGAAUCAUUAUUUUUUAUUUGGCCCCUGGUACUCAUCGAGUCUCUAUACUUGAUGACCUGGUGCCAACAACAUUACUUCCAUGUCCUACUGAGCUUUUCACCUUUGUUUGUCAAGCAAAGGAUACCUUUGUUCCCUGGCCGACUCAUUUAAUUUUCUCAAAGAAAAAGAGCCAAAGAUUAGUACAUACAGUAAUACAGAUUAUAAAGGUGGAGCUUGCUCACUUCCUUCCAACAAGUCAGUUCCCCUUCACAUCAAACAACCUGAGGUAACAUUACAAACCCCUGUCUUCUCAAUAAUCCACACAUUAUUUGCCAGUGUAUGACAGCUAUCUCUUACGUGCAAGUUUGGAUUUGGCCUUCCUUCUUUGAAAGAAAGAUCUCCUGAUAUAUAUACUAGCAAGUUUGUCAUGAAUAAAGCAACAAGGAUUUAUAUAUUCAGCAACACCACAUGAGUUACUCACCUUCACUCAUCACCCAUUCAAAGACAAUGCGCCUUCCAGAUCACUAAUCAUAUCCAUGCUUACCCAAUCAUAUAUCAGCUAAAUGUUUGAAACUGUCACAACCCAAUUAUGUAUUAGCAUCUUUGUACUGUAAUAGUUUUUCAAUUCUCAUCUAAUUUGUUUUUUCUUUAAUUUUAUUUCUAGUUUACAUCUAAUAUAUUUAUUUCUUGUGGUGUACAAAAUUCUCUAAGAUCAAUAAUCAGCUUAAAGAUAAGGAGAAUACCCCUAUAUCGAGAUUGCCAUCGACAGAAGCUUCAUCUAAAAAGCCGUAUAACAUCACUAAUAAAGAUCGUGCCAUGGUGACAUCUUGUUUAUUGGAAGCUUUUAAGAAAGAAGCUAUGGGAUUGAGACAGAGGAAUGGGAACAUAAUUUUGAACAUCCCGUUUAAUGUUUUCUACAACGAGAUGGUAAUUCGGCUUGAUUAUGAAGAUAUAUUUGAUUGGUGUUUUCAAAGAGAGGUACUUGAGCGAAGAGUGUCAAAAGGAGGGUAUAUCAGGGUUGUAUGGUUUUUGCGAUGUUAAUUUUAUUUCUCCGUUAACCCCGACAAAAGAAGGCGUUAUGCGGAAUGGUGAGCUUUAGCGUUAUUGGUCGAAAGGAUAUCAAGAAAAUGAAAAAAAGAACCCCGAAGUUUUGUGGCUUAAACUACAUGUCCACGUCAAUAUCAAGACACCAAAGAUUGUGGAUAUUAUGUAUGCCGCUACAUGCAAGAGAUAAUAACAAGGAGACAACAAGUAGUUCCAGAAAAGCUCCCGCUACUUAUCAUCAAAAAACGAUAGACGAAAUACGAGACACUUUGGUUACGUAUGUUUUUAAGCAAAAAGAAGUCAGUGAUGAUGGUAUGGCUGAUGAUCAUGAAUGAUUAUCGCACAUAUUUAAACAUUGUAUAUAUAUUUUGGGAUAUAAGGAUUUUUGCUUAUGGAGGCCAAUGAAUAGAGUUUAGACUUUGGAGAAUUUUAGAUUAUGUUUUAUUUUUAUUUUUUUUAUUAGAAAAUGGAUAGUGAUGUUUAGUGAAUUAUUGUCUUAUAAUCAGCUUUCUUUUCUUUCUUUUUUUUUUUAAAUUUUUUUUAGAUACAUAAUGUACAGUGUAUAAUUAAAUAUAUUUAGUGAAGUAUUAAAUUAUUGAGCCCAAUUCGAUAUUGUUGUAGUUAUUUAAUAUAUGAUACUAAAGGUCUACAAGUGCAUAUAUAUAGCAGGUUGAAACAAUUUUAUUAGUUAUCAAUUUAGACAGCAUCACCCCAGCCAACGUAUA